rnacentral:rRNA from 1 species
AUGCGGCAAGCUACACAUGCAAGUCGAGCGGUAACAGGGGUAGCUUGCUACCCGCUGACGAGCGGCGGACGGGUGAGUAAUGCAUAGGAAUCUGCCCGAUAGUGGGGGAUAACCUGGGGAAACCCAGGCUAAUACCGCAUACGUCCUACGGGAGAAAGGGGGCUCCGGCUCCCGCUAUUGGAUGAGCCUAUGUCGGAUUAGCUAGUUGGUGAGGUAAAGGCUCACCAAGGCGACGAUCCGUAGCUGGUCUGAGAGGAUGAUCAGCCACAUCGGGACUGAGACACGGCCCGAACUCCUACGGGAGGCAGCAGUGGGGAAUAUUGGACAAUGGGCGAAAGCCUGAUCCAGCCAUGCCGCGUGUGUGAAGAAGGCCCUCGGGUUGUAAAGCACUUUCAGCGAGGAAGAACGCCUAGUGGUUAAUACCCAUUAGGAAAGACAUCACUCGCAGAAGAAGCACCGGCUAACUCCGUGCCAGCAGCCGCGGUAAUACGGAGGGUGCAAGCGUUAAUCGGAAUUACUGGGCGUAAAGCGCGCGUAGGUGGCUUGAUAAGCCGGUUGUGAAAGCCCCGGGCUCAACCUGGGAACGGCAUCCGGAACUGUCAAGCUA